rnacentral:rRNA from 1 species
CCUACGGGAGGCAGCAGUGGGGAAUCUUGGACAAUGGGGGCAACCCUGAUCCAGCAAUGCCGCGUGUGGGAUGAAGGGGUUCGGGUUGUAAACCACUUUUGGCGGGGGCGAAAUAUCGAGUGAUAAUACCAUUCGGUGAUGUCAGUACCCGCAGAAUAAGCACCGGCUAACUACGUGCCAGCAGCCGCGGUAAU